UUAGAGCUAGAAACUUGAACAAGAAAGUGCAUAGUGUCUUUGCCUCUUAUUUUAAAAAAAAAAAAGAGAGUUGCAGAAGGUUGAGAAUUGAAACCUUAAGAUAUGUUAAAGUGUAGUAUGACACUGACUACAGAACACAUAUAGGUGUGGAAACCGUUCUUUAAUCUGAAAGCUCCAAUCUUUGUGAGACGAACAGCAGCCAUUGGCACUUCCAUGAGAUGAGGGAGAAGAAAGACUCCAAAUCUUUAUCUUCGACCUCUCUUUGUGCCACACUUCGAGACGCAUACCACAAUUGCUUCAACAGGUGGUACGCGGAGAAAUUCAUGAAGGGUCACUGGGACAAACAAGAUUGCGUUUCUGAGUGGCAAAAAUACCGGGAGUGCCUUUCUCAACAUUUGGAAGAUAAGCAUCUGAUUCGUUUCUUACAAGCUGAAGGCAUUGUUCAAGACAGUGGCGUUACUUCUCAGUAACUUGUGGAGAGUAAGGUAAACCUUCUUAUAGCAAGAAGCCUUCUGGCAAAGGUUUUGGUGCAGGUAAAUGACUGCUAACGGAGAAAGCUUAUUCCUGUGAUGAUCAUUGUUGAUGUUGUAUUAUGUCCGCUACCUGUGCGCUGUAUCAUUGUUUGAAUAGAGCAAGCUUUGUAUUUCCGUAAGAAAUCUUUGUGGUAUGUUAUUUCUUUUUUUGUUUUUGGACUUUGGAUCUUGUUGCAAAAAGGAAAAAUUCAAAUUUAGUUUUGCUUAUUGAUGUAAUAUAAUUAGAUUGUUACUACUA